AAAACGACUCUCGGCAACGGAUAUCUUGGCUCUCGCAUCGAUGAAGAACGUAGCGAAAUGCGAUACUUGGUGUGAAUUGCAGAAUCCCGUGAACCAUCGAGUUUUUGAACGCAAGUUGCGCCCGAAGCCUUGGCCAGGGCACGUCUGCCUGGGCGUCACGC
rnacentral:rRNA from 1 species